rnacentral:rRNA from 1 species
GACGAAGGAUGCAAGCGUUAUCCGGAUUCAUUGGGCUUAAAGGGAGCGUAGGUGGCCUUAUAAGUCAGUGGUGAAAUCUCUGGGCUUAACCCAGAAAUUGCCAUUGAUACUGUAGGGCUUGAGUAUAGUUGACGUUGGCGGAAUAUGACAUGUAGUGGUGAAAUACAUAGAGAUGUCAUAGAACACCGAUUGCGAAGGCAGCUAACGAAACUAUAACUGACACUGAGGCUCGAAAGUGCGGGGAGCAAACAGG